rnacentral:rRNA from 1 species
AUGAUCAUUAUCAAGCAAGGUACUAGCAUCAUCAUAAGCAUCAUUCAUAGUAUAAGUAGCAUCAUCAAUAACUUGCGACAUAUCAGGAUUAACAGCAUGUGGUGGUGUUGCAAGUUUACUCAUAACAGAAGGUGA